GGAGAUCCAGGGCUCAGUAAUCCCCCCAUCCGCGUCCGCCCUCCCUCCCUCCCCUGCGCCCCUUUCUCUUCCUCCAGUUGCGAAUUUUCGUAUGCUGCCGUUGUUUAUUUGGCUGCGCUGUGGCGUACUGUCAACUGAAAACUGAUUCUGUAUUUUCUACUCCAGUACUUUAUGGAGUAGUAUAUAAGGACGUCUUACUAUAGUAUGGCUGAGGCAGUGACCAGCUUGGUAGGUAGUACAAGCUGAGAAAAUUCAUGAUGCUGGCUGGGAGCAAAAAAUUUAUAGGCUUAGUUGUUGUAUUGGUUCUGUUGUUGUAUGGGGAUAUAUGCAUAGAUAUGUAACAUGUGGGUUCCAAGCAUGCUUCCGAGAAAAAGUAAAAUUAUAUAUCCAAUUUAAACAUUGUACAUCUGCCGUUCUUGUGGAAUGCAAGUUAUUUUAGGUAGUAAGAGUGUGCAGGGUAGGUUAUCAAGUGCACGGCUGCUAGUUUGCUUACUAGCUCUGUUCUAUUGGGAUAUGUAUAUGUAUGUGUGGAUUUUAAGCAUGGUUCCUGUAGAUAUGAUAAGUGCAUAGCAUUGCAACUCAUCUUUGUCUGGUAUUAUAAGGCCAUUUGAUUGAAUGCUUGAAAAGAUGAGUCGCUAAAGUGAAUGUGCUUCUAAGUAUCAUGUAGUUUCAGAAACACAUGCAUCUAUCCAUUUCUUUGUCUGCUCUUGUGAGCUCUUCCCAUUGGGAAACUUGGCUAGCUGCCCAUAUCAGUUGAUGAACUAUACUAUUAUCCACUGCUUUUAAUCAGCUGAUGAUGCAUAUUCAGUUUGGCUGAUUUUGUUACAUACAUACAUACAUGGCUUUGUUUUGGUCUGGCAACUCAACUGUGAUGCCAUUGCUGCUGCUCUGUAGAACUUUUGUAUGUUUACAGCAUGCAUCCUAAUUGUCAAUCUCGAGUCUGCACUUCUGUAUGUUUUUGAUGUCAAACACUUAUGCAUGACUAAUUGUUAAGUUUAUACAAUUUCUUUGGUAGACAAGCUUCGAAACUUAGACUACACACUGUUAAACUGCUAAUGAUUUAGACUACAGAAUUUUUAAUCUUAGACUACUGGUUUAUCUAUGUUUCAUAUGAUGGAUUUGACCUGUACCAUGCAUUACACAUGUGUUGAUACAAUCAUAUAGCUUAUUUGAUCAAACAAUCUGUUCAUGUUAUCUUUACCUGCUGCUCUUAUACCUUACCAAAACAAAAAAUAAUUCUAACUAGGAGUAGUUCUCUUUGUUCAGAUUCUGUAUCUAUUACUGCUGACAUAUUGUCGUGAUUCACUUUUUGUACUGAAUAGCUCUUUCUGAUAUUCACAGGUUUUAGCGAUCAGCCGUAGCUCUUUUAUCAAAGGUGCAUGGUGCAACAGAGGACAAGCGCUUCAUGUCCAACCAAGGAGCAUGGUGCUCGCAAUUGACGAACAGAGGGUGUUCGACAUCGGCUACACAAACCACCACUGAGGUCUAUGAAAUUUGAAGUUCGAAGCUGGAUAGCCCUACUCAGCAAAGAGUGGUCUCUUUUGUUUGACUGUAAUAGACUGUAAAUAUUGUUAUAUUGUAAUAGUAGGCAUAUUUGGGUUGUAAUAGACUAUGUACAUAUUGUAGUAGACUUAGUGUUAGUUGAUGAACUACAUUUGUAUGUAUGUGAUUUGAAAACAUGUGGAAUGGAAA